GGAGAGGGAAGAGGGCCUACCAAGUUCAGAUUUUAUUCUCACGAAGUUCACCAGCUACUGGAGCCUCUUGUCAAUGAUAACCUGUUGUUGCAUUGCAGCAUGUUGCAGCCCACCAGGAAGUUCGCCAUGCGGGCGUCGGGAGUCAACACGUCUUUGAACUGUGAAGGGAUAGUUGGACUCCCUGAGUUGCCUCUGAACUCCUCCUCGCCGCCGUGUUCUGAGAAGGCAACUCCAGCGGCAAACUGAAGGAUGCAGCCCCAUUCAUCGCCCAAAAUGUCAGGGCUGGAUCUAGCUCCUCCGUUGCCUCUGCUCCUGCCUCAGCAGCACAGUCACUUCAUAGCUUCUUCGCCAGCGGUUGUGGAAUAAUUCAUCGCCUGUUCGGACAAAGUGGACAUAAUGCUAUGCU